rnacentral:rRNA from 1 species
AUAGCUGGUUCUCCCCGAAAGCUAUUUAGGUAGCGCCUCGUGAAUUCAUCUCCGGGGGUAGAGCACUGUUUCGGCUAGGGGGCCAUCCCGGCUUACCAACCCGAUGCAAACUGCGAAUACCGGAGAAUGUUAUCACGGGAGACACACGGCGGGUGCUAACGUCCGUCGUGAAGAGGGAAACAACCCAGACCGCCAGCUAAGGUCCCAAAGUCAUGGUUAAGUGGGAAACGAUGUGGGAAGGCCCAGACAGCCAGGAUGUUGGCUUAGAAGCAGCCAUCAUUUAAAGAAAGCGUAAUAGCUCACUGGUCGAGUCGGCCUGCGCGGAAGAUGUAACGGGGCUAAACCAUGCACCGAAGCUGCGGCAGCGAACGUAUCACCCAAGACAACUUUACGGAGUUGACGAUUGACGGAGCGAAGCGACGUCAAAGCGUUCAUUAAAGUCGAGUUGGCUUAGGGAUACGUUCGUUGGGUAGGGGAGCGUUCUGUAAGCCUGUGAAGGUGUGUCGUGAGGCAUGCUGGAGGUAUCAGAAGUGCGAAUGCUGACAUAAGUAACGAUAAAGCGGGUGAAAAGCCCGCUCGCCGGAAGACCAAGGGUUCCUGUCCAACGUUAAUCGGGGCAGGGUGAGUCGACCCCUAAGGCGAGGCCGAAAGGCGUAGUCGAUGGGAAACGGGUUAAUAUUCCCGUACUUGGUGUUACUGCGAAGGGGGGACGGAGAAGGCUAUGUUGGCCGGGCGACGGUUGUCCCGGUUUAAGCGUGUAGGUGUGUGUUCCAGGUAAAUCCGGUU